CUUCACCCCAGAGUUUUUUUGGCGGGAAAAUUUAUAAUGUUUGGGGAAGACAAGAUGGCGCUGGUUUACUUCGUGUCGUCAAAGGGCAUUUUUGUUCACAAAUACCCACUUAUUUUACGUUAUAACGACUGCUUAGUUUUGGAAAUUAUAACUCAAUGUUCAGGGAAAACGAUUCUAUGGUAAAGAGAAAAAUACGUGCAGUUUAUAUUGACUUUAUAUUGUGAUGUUAUUUGUUGUGAAAGACGGCCGGAAAUUUCGCUACAUCGCUGUACUGGCAAUUCGACCAUGGAUAAAGAGACAACGCUUGAAUGAAAGAACAACCUGUCUUGAUGGUAAGUUUUUAAA